rnacentral:lncRNA from 1 species
GAACGUGAACGGACGGACCAAGAUCGAUACCAGGGACGACCGGUCGAAAGAAUCUGAUCGAAUCGGAAAAAGGACCUCCAGGGACGCCCAUUCAACCAAGAUCGACCAAAGCGGCCAGACGGUCCCAUAAUUAAACCUUGGUCGAUUAAGACAUGAAAGCAUUGUGAUCAGAGUAGGUAACCAGUAACUAUCCGGCCGGUUAAUACAAGGUCAGUAACUACACGAAG